rnacentral:rRNA from 1 species
GACGAACGCUGGCGGCGUGCUUAACACAUGCAAGUCGAACGAUGAAGCCCAGCUUGCUGGGUGGAUUAGUGGCGAACGGGUGAGUAACACGUGGGCAACCUGCCCCAAACUCUGGGAUAACUCCUCGAAAGAGGUGCUAAUACCGGAUACGAACUAGGUAGACAUCUGCACUAGUUGGAAAGUUUUUCGGUUUGGGAUGGGCCCGCGGCCUAUCAGCUUGUUGGUGAGGUAACGGCUCACCAAGGCUACGACGGGUAACCGGCCUGAGAGGGCAACCGGUCACACUGGGACUGAGACACGGCCCAGACUCCUACGGGAGGCAGCAGUGGGGAAUAUUGCGCAAUGGGCGAAAGCCUGACGCAGCGACGCCGCGUGAGGGAUGAAGGUCUUCGGAUCGUAAACCUCUUUCAGUAGGGACGAAGCGAAAGUGACGGUACCUAAAGAAGAAGCACCGGCUAACUACGUGCCAGCCGCCGCGGUAA